rnacentral:tRNA from 1 species
GGGGAUUUAGCUCAGCGGUAGAGCACUUGCCUAGUAAGCGCAAGGCCCUGGGUUCGAUCCCCAGCUCCG